AUGUUAGCAAUUGCCGCAUACUAUGAUUAUGAGAUAUGGCAGAUGGACGUCAAAACGGCAUUCCUUAACGGCUAUCUUAAGAAAGAACUGUAUAUGAUGCAGCCAGAAGGUUUUGUCGAUCCUAAGAAUGCUAACAAGGCAUGCAAGCUCCAGCGCUCCAUCUAUGGGCUGGUGCAAGCAUCUCGGAGUUGGAACAUUCGCUUUGAUCAAAUGAUCAAAGCGUUUGGGUUUAUGCAGACUUAUGGAGAAGCCUGCGUUUAUAAGAAAGUGAGUGGGAGCUCUGUAGCAUUUCUCAUAUUAUAUGUAGAUGACAUACUUUUGAUGGGAAAUGAUCUAGAACUUUUGGACAGCAUUAAGGCCUACUUGAAUAAGUGUUUUUCAAUGAAGGACCUUGGAGAAGCUGCUUACAUAUUAGGCAUCAAGACCUAUAGAGAUAGAUCGAGAUGCCUCAUAGGUCUUUCACAAAGCACAUACCUUGAUAAGAUAUUGAAGAAGUUCAAUAUGGAUCAGUCCAAGAAGGACUUCUUGCCUGUGUUGCAAGGUGUGAAAUUGAGCUCGGCUCAAUGUCCGACCACGGCAGAAGAUAGAGAAAAGAUGAGUGUCGUCCCCUAUGCCUCAGCCAUAGGGUCUAUCAUGUAUGCCAUGCUGUGUACCAGACCUGAUGUAAACCUUGUCGUAAGUUUGGUAGGAAGGUACCAAAGUAAUCCCGACAUGGAACAGUGGACAGCGGUCAAGAAUAUCCUGAAGUACCUGAAAAGGACUAAGCAUAUAUUUCUCGUUUAUGGAGGUGAAGAAGAGCUCGUCGUAAAGGGUUACGUCGAUGCUAGCUUCGACACAGAUCUGGAUGACUCUAAGUCACAAACCGGAUACGUGUAUAUUUUGAAUGGUGGGGCAGUAAGCUGGUGCAGUUGCAAGCAAAGCGUCAUGGCAGGAUCUACAUGUGAAGCGGAGUACAUGGCAGCCUCGGAGGCAGCACAUGAAGCAAUCUGGAUGAAGGAGUUCAUUACCGAUCUAGGACUUAUUCCCAAUGCGUCGGAGCCGAUGACUCUCUUCUGUGACAACACUGGAGCCAUUGCCCUUGCCAAGGAGCCCAGGUUUCACAAGAAGACCAGGCACAUCAAGCGUCGCUUCAACUCCAUUCGUGAAAAUGUUCAAGAUGGAGACAUAGAUAUUUGCAAAGUGCAUACGGAUCUAAAUGUCGCAGAUCCGUUGACUAAACCUCUUCCGCGAGCAAAACAUGAUCAACACCAGAACUCUAUGGGUGUUCGAUUCAUCACAUUGUAA
rnacentral:rRNA from 1 species